rnacentral:rRNA from 1 species
UACGUAGGGUGCGAGCGUUGUCCGGAAUUACUGGGCGUAAAGAGCUCGUAGGUGGUUUGUCGCGUUGUUCGUGAAAAACUCACAACUCAAUUGUGGGCGUGCGGGCGAUACGGGCAGACUGGAGUACUGCAGGGGAGACUGGAAUUCCUGGUGUAGCGGUGGAAAUGCGCAGAUAUCUGGAGGAACACCGGUGGCGAAGGCGACAUCCUGGGACCGGUAUUGACGCUGAGUGAGCGAAAGCCAGGGGAGCAAAGCGGGAUUAAGAAACCCGGAGUAG